UUUUUUUUUUUUUUAAACAAUCAGGGCCCUCCUCAAUGCUACUCCUCGGCUACUACGCAGAGCUCAAGCAGGAUCCUUUGCCAACUAACGGGAUAGACCCAACCGCAACCAUGAGCUUGUGUGUGUUUGGCGGGGCUGGCCCGAGUGGUGACUGGGCAGGAAGUCAGUCUGCACCAAGGUGUCAGGAGCGGGGAGCGGUGCCCUGUGCCGGCCUCCCAGGAACCUGCUGCCCUCCCACUGAGAAGGGAUUCUCUGGCACCAGCUCCAGCCCACGGAAAGCCUGAGAGGCUUCCUCUCCUCAGAGAGUUAGCAAAGCAGCCUCACAAAGACAGACAAAAAUGUGCUACGUCCCUGCUCCUUCCAUCAAAUGGGCUGUUCGUGAUGCCCUAAGACUUGGCCCUGCUCCAGCACAGGGCACCAGAAAGAGACCGCAGCCCGUGCCAUUGCUGGGGCAGAGUUUCCCACUCCUUUGGCUCAGAUGCUCUCUCUAGGUGCUGCCAACAGGAAUUACCUAAAUAGGUCCCAACCCUGGUGGCCUCUCCCGCUCCUCUAACUUGCGUUCCUCACCCACACAGAGCCCUUUGCAUCUCAUCUCAUGCAACCUGGAUGUGGACUAACCCUUUGCCCCAAGAGGCAGAGCAAAGAGGCUCAGGAAGCAGGACUGUUUUUCAAGCCACACCAUGGUUCUUGACUGCUUUGUCCUGCCCAGCCUUGGUGACCAGAUGGACGAAGUUCUCCCUCAGAAUCCCUCUCUUCAAGCUCAUAGCCAUCAGUGGCUUAAGCAAUAGAGGGAAGAAUGUUCCCAACUCAAUGGCCACUGUGUCCCAGCACUUGAUUUCAGGGCUGUCAGCCCCGUGAGGGCAGGGACCACAUCUAACUCACGCGCCAUGGUAUCCACAGCUCAGGCCUUAGUUCAGACUGGAUUUCAGAGUAUUUGCUGAAUGAAUGAAUGAAUGAAUGAAUGAAUGAAUGAAUGGACAAAUGACAGCACAGGAAACUACAGCUCUUAGGGCUGAGCACACAGGUGGGAUUGCAGCCCAGUCAAAGGAACUUCUAGAGUUACUGUAAGAUGCCCAGCACUUUCCUCCCAGCCAGCCAAACUGGAGUGCCGAUGGUAAUGGUGCUGUCCUGGCUUCAUUGUUGGUAUGUCUUGGGGUAGUUGCUUGGGAGACCCAGCUGGCAGGGAGUGCUGGGCAAUUCUGCUUUCGUGCUGAGCUGGGCUGGACUCUGACACGGGCUCCAUGGAAAACGCACUCUCCUCUUCCCCAAAGGGGCUGCCUCCUGUAUCCUGCAAUCCCCACGCCAGCAGCGUUUGAUCUCUCUGACCACCUGCCUUCCUUGCUUGGGGAAAACUUAAUUCUUCAGCCUCAGAUUUGCUUCUGCUCAGACGGGUGUGAUUGCAUGGUGAUGGGGGGUAGCUCUCAGCACCCACAGAACAGUAGCCUGAGAGAGGGCUAAUAGCAUUUUCUUCAUACACAAAGGACAGUGCAGAGCCUGGCAGGACACUGGAACGAGGUGCAGAGGCAGGCUGUGGGCUUACUUCUCCCCAAGACCCUUACGAGGGAAGCAGCCUUCCCAGUCACCAGGUGGUGUGGCAGACUUGCUCACUGUCCCUUCCUGCCCUAAGAGCCUGCUUUCAGUGCAGUGAGUUCACUGGCAUGUACGGUGCAGUAUGGAAUGAGCGUCUGAGAAACUGACUACUCUGCUCAGAUCCAAAGCGUUUUCUGGAAAGGCCAGUCCUUUAAUUCAGCUCACAGGCACACUUCCCUGACAUUCCCUUCAGGGACAGUGGGCCUAGUAUCCAAGCAGGUGUUGGAGGAAAGCUAGGGGAGGGGCCCUCCAAGCUCACGCCCCACCCCCUGCUGUUUACCCUGUCCCCUUGCACUGUGAUAAGCUGCCCCUCAGGCGUCCAGGCAGCAGCCCUGGCUGAGGCUUGGCCCAAAUGACCAUCACACACUCUCAGGUUCAAAUAGCCUUAUUGGCUCAGUUCUGGGCUAUAAUUUCUUACCAGCAGACAGAGAGUGUGUGUCUAUGGGCUUGACCUUCAACUGAAUGAUUAUUAAUGAUGCAAGCAUUGCUAAUACCUUUGCGGCUUAAACAUGUGGCAAAUGAUGCUUUAAUAAAGUCACUGAAGGACAGAGCCCUGGUCCGGCCCAGGCCCCCUGGCUAGCAGCUGGAGGCUCAAAUCAGAGGCUGUGCCCAUGGCAGCUGAUUCGUUCCUGGGGAUCAGCUUCACCCUCCUGAAACUGACCGGAGCUACAGAAACAGCUAAAGGGUUCCUCUUAGACUCAAGAUCUCCCCCUCUCCUUCUCUGUCUCUGAGGCUAGGUACCUUUGGUUUCAAAAAUGCAUUAGGUGGGGAGGAUGAAGGCAGCACCUUCGGUCUGACAACUGCAGGUCUGCGAGUGUCUCCAUUUGGGGUGACUGGUGAGGACGUGUGUUGGGUGGCCGCUUCUGGUCCUGCCGGAACACUUGCAUGGGCUGCCCUGCUCUCCUGGACACGGACAUCGCUGGAGGCUUCAAGGCUUGCAGGGAGGGGCUGGGAACCUGGGAACUCCAGGGGCAGAUCAGCGCUGCAUAAGGCAUACAAAGAGCAUUGAGUCCUCCCCAGGUGGGGGCAUCACAGCACUGAGUACGGUGCCACCACAGGUCCCCUGAUAUGUAUACACCCCAAUGAAAGGGCAGACUGGCUCAGUCUUGGGGCAAGUCCCCAUCCACAUACCAUGUCAAACAAAAGCCUUAGUGUCCUACAGAAUUGGCUGAGAAGAUGAUAUCUAUCUGCUAGAGGUGGAAGGGGAGCAGCGCCUUAUGCCCCAAACGCACCAGCAAAGCUUUUGCAUCACAGCAUUCCAUCUCCUCCAGGGUGGCAGCGUGGGCCCCAGCCACGUGGACAGGUGCCCUCUGGGACAGAGUGGGUGUGGCCCUCUAUCUACAUCCUGGGUUUCACCAGUGAGGAGGAAGGAAGUCCAAACCCAGCCUUUUUCUUCUCUCUAGAGGUAAGCAGAGUUCCCCCAAGACCAGACACCUGAUUUUCUUCUGCUUGAGGUACACAGUCACUGGCGUUGAAGUCCUUCCUAUCAGUGCUCACUCCUGUUCCUCAAACUUCUUCAGAGUCAGUGCAGCUCACAUCUU
ensembl:lncRNA